AGCGAACGUUAGCGGCGCGCCUAACACAUGCAAGUCGCACGGAGUAGCAAUACUCAGUGGCGCACGGGUGCGUAACACGUAGAUAACCUGCCCUUAAGAGGGGGAUAACGUUCCGAAAGGAGCGCUAAUACCGCAUAAUGCCAGUAAUGGAGGAAGGAUGGGACCAGCAAUGGCCAGUCGCUUUUGGAGGGAUCUGCGGCCCAUCAGCUAGUUGGUAAGGUAAUGGCUUACCAAGGCAAAGACGGGUAGCUGGUCUGAGAGGAUGAUCAGCCACACUGGUACUGGAACACGGACCAGACUCCUACGGGAGGCAGCAGUGGGGAAUCUUGGUCAAUGGGCGCAAGCCGGAACCAGCGACGCCGCGUGAGUGAUGAAGGCCUUCGGGUUGUAAAGCUCUGUGGGGAGGGACGAAAGACUGAGGUCUAAUAGGCUUCAGGUUGACGGUACCUCCUUAGCAAGCACCGGCUAACUCUGUGCCAGCAGCCGCGGUAAGAC
rnacentral:rRNA from 1 species